rnacentral:tRNA from 1 species
AAAAAUUUAGUUAACAUAUAACACUAGUUUGUCAAACUAAAAUAAUUCCUAAGAAUAAUUUUUA